CCUACGGGAGGCUGCAGUGGGGAAUAUUGCGCAAUGGGCGAAAGCCUGACGCAGCGACGCCGCGUGAGGGAUGAAGGUCUUCGGAUCGUAAACCUCUGUCAGCAGGGAAGAACGGUCACUGUGCUAAUCAGCAGUGAAUUGACGGUACCUGCAAAGGAAGCACCGGCUAACUCCGUGCCAGCAGCCGCGGUAAUACGGAGGGUGCGAGCGUUAAUCGGAAUUACUGGGCGUAAAGCGCUCGUAGGCGGUAUGUCAAGUCAAGGGUGAAAACCCCGGGAUCAACGUGGGAACUGCCUUUGAAACUGGCAAACUGGAGUGUGUGAGAGGAUAGUGGAAUUCCAGGUGUAGGGGUGAAAUCCGUAGAUAUCUGGAGGAACAUCAGUGGCGAAGGCGACUAUCUGGCACAUAACUGACGCUGAGGAGCGAAAGCGUGGGUAGCAAACAGGAUUAGAUACCCCUGUAGUC
rnacentral:rRNA from 1 species